AGACAAAGAAUUACUUUGUCUUGCUCCUUUAAAGACUACUCUAAAACAAUUCCAUUCUUUGCCUUACUAAUGCUUCAUGUAGCUUCCAAGACUACUCUAAGACAAAGUGGAAGAUUGUCUUUCGAAUGGAGUUGAAGACUACUCUAAGACAAAGUGGAAGAUUGUCCUAUCGAAUGGAGUUGAUGACUACUCUAAGACAAAGUGCUUGUUUGUCUUUCUGCCGAGUGUGGUGGCUUCCAAGACUACUCUAAGACACAGUGCCAUAUUGUCCUACCUUGCCAUACUUUAUCUUGCCCUUGUAGUCCUUGUCUUGCCCAUGGUUAAUUGUCCUACCUUCCCUUACUUUGUCUUACUGCCAUGAUGUGUAAACUUGGUAGGCAAUCUCCUUGACUGUCCUACCUUGCCUUUUAUUGUCCUGCCCUUGUUGUUUUUGUCCUGCCCUUCAUUGUUUUGUCUUUGCAAGCUUGUAAUUGUCUUAUCUCUUCAUUGUUUUACAGGUUCAAAGCUUUGCCUAUAAAUAUGGCAUUGUUUCUUCAUUUAUAAGUGUUCAUUUCUCUAUGAUUUCAAAGCAUUUGUAAGCUUUCAAGUUGUUCGUAACUUGCU
rnacentral:lncRNA from 1 species